UCAGCAGUAUGGAAUUGUUCAUGUUUGGAACUCCAUUCUCAUACCUUGGAUAUUUUUAGCAAGCUUUGGGCACCUUUCCUAGAAUAAGAACAACCUGGAUUGCUUCAGUGUCUCCAUGGCAUCUUAGAAAUCACAACAGCAUCCUCAAUAUCUGAACACAGCGAAUGAUGCUCCAGACAUUAAUACCAAGGACAUCAGCAACAGAAACAGACUUAACAGAAAAAUGAAGUCUCCAGUUACUGAUAAACCUGUAAAUAACCCUGCUCUCAACUCACCCCAACUCCUAAUGGGAAAUACUAAAAGAUGGGUUGGCCUUGUG